rnacentral:tRNA from 1 species
GGCUGUAGCUCAGUGGUAGAGCACUUGCCUAGCAUGUAGAGACCCUGGGUUCAAUUCUCAGCAUCA